rnacentral:rRNA from 1 species
CAGCAGCCACGGUAAUACGUAGGGUGCGAGCGUUAAUCGGAAUUACUGGGCGUAAAGCGUGCGCAGGCGGUUGUGUAAGACAGGUGUGAAAUCCCCGGGCUUAACCUGGGAACUGCGCUUGUGACUGCACAGCUAGAGUAUGGCAGAGGGGGGUGGAAUUCCACGUGUAGCAGUGAAAUGCGCAGAGAUGUGGAGGAACACCGAUGGCGAAGGCAGCCCCCUGGGCCAAUACUGACGCUCAUGCACGAAAGCGUGGGGAGCAAACAGGAUUAGAUACCCCCGUAGUCCCUGUCUCUUAUAC